rnacentral:rRNA from 1 species
GGAUUAGAUACCCUGGUAGUCCACGCAGUAAACGGUGAUCACUAGGUGUAGCGGGUAUUGACCCCUGCUGUGCCGCAGCUAACGCAUUAAGUGAUCCGCCUGGGGAGUACGGUCGCAAGAUUAAAACUCAAAGGAAUUGACGGGGACCUGCACAAGUGGUGGAGCAUGCGGUUUAAUUCGAUGCUACGCGAAAAACCUUACCAACUCUUGACAUGGUGGUCGCGGAAUGUAGAAAUAUAUUCCUUCAGUUCGGCUGGACCACACACAGGUGUUGCAUGGCCGUCGUCAGCUCGUGCUG